rnacentral:rRNA from 1 species
GACGAACGCUGGCGGCGUGCCUAACACAUGCAAGUCGAACGGAAAGGCCCUGCUCUUGCGGGGUGCUCGAGUGGCGAACGGGUGAGUAACACGUGAGUAACCUGCCCCUGACUUUCGGAUAACUUCAGGAAACUGGGGAUAAUAUCGGAUAGGAUCUCCUGCUGCAUGGUGGGGGUUGGAAAGAUUCGGCGGUUUUGGCUGGAAUCGCGGCUUAUGAGCUGGUUGGUGGGGUAGUGGCUUACCAGGCCUAUGACGGGUAGCCGGCCUGAGAGGGCGACCGGGCUCCUGGGUACUGAGAGACGGCCCAGACUCCUAUGGGAGGCAGCAGUCGGGAAUAUUGCACAAUGGGCGGAAGCCUGAUGCAGCAACGCCGCGUGCGUGAUGACGGCCUUCGGGUGGUAAACCGCUUUCGCCUGUGACGAAGCGUGAGUGACGGUAAUGGAUAAAGAAGCACCGGCUAACUACGUG